rnacentral:rRNA from 1 species
AUUGAACGCUGGCGGCAGGCCUAACACAUGCAAGUCGAACGAGUGGCGGACGGGUGAGUAAUGUCUGGGAAACUGCCUGAUGGAGGGGGAUAACUACUGGAAACGGUAGCUAAUACCGCAUACCAUCGGAUGUGCCCGGAUGGGCUUAGCUUGUAGGUGGGGUAACGGCUCACCUAGGCGACGAUCCCUAGCUGGUCUGAGAGGAUGACCAGCCACACUGGAACUGAGACACGGGCCAGAUUCCUACUGGAGGCAGCAGUGGGGAAUAGUGCACAAUGGGCGCAAGCCUGAUGCAGCCAUGCCGCGUGUAUGAAGAAGGCCUUCGGGUUGUAAAGUACGUUCAGCGGGGAGGCGUUACCCGCAGAAGAAGCACCGGCUAACUCCGUGCCAGCCGCCGCGGUAAUAC